GGCCGUGUAAACUCCUGCGCGAUUGCACGGAUUCAGGGACGGGCCGUGGCGCCGCGACGCUCCUUGGUUUGACUUUUGUGUUUCAGUUGAGUUCCCUGACUCGGAGUCUCAGUGUGUCGUGUGAAAAAGACAGCAUGAACUUUACCCCAAAACACACCCCUGUCUGCAGAAAGCAAGCAGUUGUCUCCAAACGUGCCGUUGCCACCAGUGGUCCCACCAAGAGGAGGGGAAUGGCAGACUCACUGGAGUCAACCCCCUUGCCUUCCCUCGAAGAUCGUCUGGCCAAACUCGGUCCUUCUAAGGAGCUCCUGGAAUAUUAUCAGAAGAAGAUGGCUGAGUGCGAGGCAGAAAAUGAGGACUUGUUGAAGAAACUGGAACUCUACAAAGAAGCUUGUGAAGGACAGGUGAAGAGACGAUGCACGCUUUUUCGGAACUCUGAUGAAGUCUUCAUUAAUUAGAG
rnacentral:lncRNA from 1 species